rnacentral:rRNA from 1 species
UACGUAGGGUGCGAGCGUUAAUCGGAAUUACUGGGCGUAAAGCGUGCGCAGGCGGUGAUGUAAGACAGAUGUGAAAUCCCCGGGCUCAACCUGGGAACUGCAUUUGUGACUGCAUCGCUGGAGUGCGGCAGAGGGGGAUGGAAUUCCGCGUGUAGCAGUGAAAUGCGUAGAUAUGCGGAGGAACGCCGAUGGCGAAGGCAAUCCCCUGGGCCUGUACUGACGCUCAUGCACGAAAGCGUGGGGAGCAAACAGG